AUUGAACCGCUGGCGGAAUGCUUUACACAUGCAAGUCGAACGGUAGAGGGGGCAACCCCUUGAGAGUGGCGAACGGGUGAGUAAUAUAUCGGAACGUGCCCAGUCGUGGGGAUAACGUAGCGAAAGUUACGCUAAUACCGCAUACGAUCUAAGGAUGAAAGCGGGGGAUCGCAAGACCUCGCGCGAUUGGAGCGGCCGAUAUCAGAUUAGGUAGUUGGUGGGGUAAAGGCUCACCAAGCCAACGAUCUGUAGCUGGUCUGAGAGGACGACCAGCCACACUGGAACUGAGACACGGUCCAGACUCCUACGGGAGGCAGCAGUGGGGAAUUUUGGACAAUGGACGCAAGUCUGAUCCAGCCAUUCCGCGUGCAGGAUGAAGGCCCUCGGGUUGUAAACUGCUUUUGUACAGAACGAAAAGGUCUCUAUUAAUACUAGGGGCUCAUGACGGUACUGUAAGAAUAAGCACCGGCUAACUACGUG
rnacentral:rRNA from 1 species